rnacentral:tRNA from 1 species
GGGCGCUUAGCUCAGUCGGGAGAGCGCGGCCCUUACAAGGCCGAGGCCGCAGGUUCGAACCCUGCAGCGCCCA